AAUUCAGAGUAACAACUCAAUAAAAUCAGGAAAAUAAUAACUGAUGAAAUUGAGAACUUAAUAUAAUGAAAUUAUAAAAACAAGACAUUUUGGCCUCCAAAUAUAACAAAUGAAAUAAAAACAAAUGCAACAGCAAGUGUCAAUAACAGAAUUAAUCGAGUAGGAGAAAAAAAAUCUAUUGAAUAUUUGAAAAUACAUGGUGGGGGAAGGAAAAGGAAUGAAAAGAAGAAAUCUUAUGGAAUUUGUGGGGAAGCAAAAAGAAAGCAAAUACUCAAAUUAUAAGGACUAAAGAGGGAGAAUGAGACACAAAGGAAGAGAGAACUUAAAGAAGUAACAAAAACAUUUCCAAAUCUUGGGAAGAUAUAAGUAGUGCAGGAAGAUCAAAGGUCUCCAGUUAGAGUCAAUCCAAACAGAACUACAUCAAGACUUGUUAUAAAAAGACUAUAACUGAAUCAUCAGAAAUGGAAGACAGAGAGAGGACUCUGAGGCAAAGAAGGCAAAGGUAAAGAAGCCAACAAAAUAGAAGGGAGUUCUAAUAAGGCUAACAGCAGAUGUAUCAGUAGAAACCUUUAUAGACCAGGCAAGAGUGGGAUGAUAUACUCAAAGGGCUGAAGAAAGAUCUGCCAAACAAGAAAACUGUACCUGGCAAAGCUGUUCUUCAGAAGUGAAAGACAAAGAAUUUCCCAAACCAAAGCUAAAGGAGUUCAUCACUGUCAGACCACUCUUAUACGAAAUGCCAAGGAGAGUUUUUCAAACUGGGGGAAAAAAAAAAAGCGCUAACUAGUAACAUGGAAACUUCUUACUUAAAAACAAUAGCUAUCAUAAUUUGUUGUGGGACACAUAGUACA
rnacentral:lncRNA from 1 species